rnacentral:rRNA from 1 species
UAAUGGGCGUCGAGCGGCGGACGGGUGAGUAAUGCCUAGGAAAUUGCCUUGAUGUGGGGGAUAACCAUUGGAAACGAUGGCUAAUACCGCAUAAUGCCUACGGGCCAAAGAGGGGGACCUUCGGACCUCUCGCGUCAAGAUAUGCCUAGGUGGGAUUAGCUAGUUGGUGAGGUAAUGGCUCACCAAGGCGACGAUCCCUAGCUGGUCUGAGAGGAUGAUCAGCCACACUGGAACUGAGACACGGUCCAGACUCCUACGGGAGGCAGCAGUGGGGAAUAUUGCACAAUGGGCGAAAGCCUGAUGCAGCCAUGCCGCGUGUAUGAAGAAGGCCUUCGGGUUGUAAAGUACUUUCAGUUGUGAGGAAGGGGGUGUUGUUAAUAGCGUUAUCUCUUGACGUUAGCAACAGAAGAAGCACCGGCUAACUCCGUGCCAGCAGCCGCGGUAAUACGGAGGGUGCGAGCGUUAAUCGGAAUUACUGGGCGUAAAGCGCAUGCAGGUGGUUCAUUAAGUCAGAUGUGAAAGCCCGGGGCUCAACCUCGGAACUGCAUUUGAAACUGGUGAACUAGAGUGCUGUAGAGGGGGGUAGAAUUUCAGGUGUAGCGGUGAAAUGCGUAGAGAUCUGAAGGAAUACCAGUGGCGAAGGCGGCCCCCUGGACAGACACUGACACUCAGAUGCGAAAGCGUGGGGAGCAAACAGGAUUAGAUACCCUGGUAGUCCACGCCGUAAACGAUGUCUACUUGGAGGUUGUGGCCUUGAGCCGUGGCUUUCGGAGCUAACGCGUUAAGUAGACCGCCUGGGGAGUACGGUCGCAAGAUUAAAACUCAAAUGAAUUGACGGGGGCCCGCACAAGCGGUGGAGCAUGUGGUUUAAUUCGAUGCAACGCGAAGAACCUUACCUACUCUUGACAUCCAGAGAAGCCAGUGGAGACACAGGUGUGCCUUCGGGAGCUCUGAGACAGGUGCUGCAUGGCUGUCGUCAGCUCGUGUUGUGAAAUGUUGGGUUAAGUCCCGCAACGAGCGCAACCCUUAUCCUUGUUUGCCAGCGAGUAAUGUCGGGAACUCCAGGG